GAGGGAGUAACUCAAGAGGUGUGGAGUGACUGCAUCGCUUAUUGGAGCACAGACAAACAAAAGGCGAGAGCAGCGAAAAAUAAAGAAAGUCGGGGUAAGAUGAAAUUUCUAGGAGGCUGGGGCUCCAAGCCUAUUGUUUCACAUGUUGUCGAGGGGGCUAACCCCGACACAGGAGAACUGCCAACUGCGGUGGAAACUUUUCAAAAGUUUCACCAUAAAGGCAACGAUUGGCGCAACGAGUUCGCGCAACAAG